rnacentral:rRNA from 1 species
AAGACCUUGCGCUUUUGGAGCGGCCGAUGCCUGAUUAGCUUGUUGGUAAGGUAAAGGCUUACCAAGGCUUCGAUCAGUAGCUGGUCUGAGAGGACGGCCAGCCACACUGGGACUGAGACACGGCCCAGACUCCUACGGGAGGCAGCAGUGGGGAAUUUUGGACAAUGGGGGCAACCCUGAUCCAGCCAUGCCGCGUGAGUGAAGAAGGCCUUCGGGUUGUAAGGCUCUUUCAGCCGGAACGAAACGGUUACGGUUAAUACCCGUGAUUACUGACGGUACCGGAAGAAGAAGCACCGGCUAACUACGUGCCAGCAGCCGCGGUAAUACGUAGGGUGCGAGCGUUAAUCGGAAUUACUGGGCGUAAAGCGUGCGCAGGUGGUUUUGUAAGUCAGAUGUGAAAGCCCCGGGCUCAACCUGGGAACU